rnacentral:rRNA from 1 species
AUUGAACGCUGGCGGCAGGCUUAACACAUGCAAGUCGAGCGGAGCGAGGGUGCUUGCACCUUAGCUUAGCGGCGGACGGGUGAGUAAUGCUUAGGAAUCUGCCUAUUAGUGGGGGACAACAUUCCGAAAGGGAUGCUAAUACCGCAUACGCCCUACGGGGGAAAGCAGGGGAUCGUCGGACCUUGCGCUAAUAGAUGAGCCUAAGUCGGAUUAGCUAGUUGGUGGGGUAAAGGCCUACCAAGGCGACGAUCUGUAGCGGGUCUGAGAGGAUGAUCCGCCACACUGGGACUGAGACACGGCCCAGACUCCUACGGGAGGCAGCAGUGGGGAAUAUUGGACAAUGGGCGGAAGCCUGAUCCAGCCAUGCCGCGUGUGUGAAGAAGGCCUUUUGGUUGUAAAGCACUUUAAGCGAGGAGGAGGCUACUAGUAUUAAUACUACUGGAUAGUGGACGUUACUCGCAGAAUAAGCACCGGCUAACUCUGUGCCAGCAGCCGCCGUAAUAC